rnacentral:lncRNA from 1 species
UCGCGCCAAGAAGAUCUAUCAAUAGGUUGUGAUUGCACUCCUUCCAUCAAGACCGCUAUGGAGGAUUUUUCGCAACCUAGGAGCCAAGCUAUGGUUAGGAUCCCUCAUUGAUCGAAGCCGAGCCGAUCAAAGGUGAUCAUCCAAUCCGUAUGUGGAUAAUGCGAUGUUUAUCCAAGAUGGGUUUGUAAGAGGUUCUUCCCUCUCGAUGGGCUUAUGGAUUUGCUUUCCCCCUCCUCCCGGCCCCACCUCCUGUGCCCAUAGGUCUUUUCCGGCUCUAUCAACAACUUGUCGCAAGUUUUUCUUUGUCGAUUUGAUAUCUUUAGCCCCCACCCUACCCUCACAUUUCCUUUGUUUGAUUUUCUUUAUAUUUUUCUUGCAUGUGCAACUAUUUUGAUCACCUGUAGUAGGUUCAUUUGCUUCCACUUUAUUCAAUCUCUUGGUCGUGUUGUAUGGUUUGUUAU